rnacentral:rRNA from 1 species
CUACGGGUUGCAGCAGUGGGGAAUAUUGCACAAUGGAGGAAACUCUGAUGCAGCAACGCCGCGUGGAGGAUGGCACUUUUCGGAGCGUAAACUCCUUUUAUAUAGGAAGAAGAUGACGGUACUAUAUGAAUAAGCGCCGGCUAACUCCGUGCCAGCAGCCGCGGUAAUACGGAGGGGCGCAAGCGUUACUCGGAAUCACUGGGCGUAAAGAGCGUGUAGGCGGAUUAAAAAGUCAGAAGUGAAAUCCUAUAGCUUAACUAUAGAACUGCUUCUGAAACUCUUAAUCUAGAAUAUGGGAGAGGUAGAUGGAAUUUCUGGUGUAGGGGUAAAAUCCGUAGAGAUCAGAAGGAAUACCGAUUGCGAAGGCGAUCUACUAGAACAUUAUUGAUGCUGAGACGCGAAAGCGUGGGGAGCAAACAGGAUUAGAUACCCUGGUAGUC